CUGGAAUUAACGGAUACAAUUUGGUAAAACUUUGUUUAGACUAAUAAGUAGGGCACACCGUUCGGACCAUCGACAGAAUAACGUUCGUGUUUUUCAGAUUUCAAGACAUAGAUUUGCUGAUGAAUAACAUCGCAAAGAUCUUGGUGUAUUGUCUUCAUACAUGGCCGCAACAACCCUUCAAAUAGACCAGACUAAACUUAAUUAACUUGACCACCAUAUUAACAUUCAAGAAGUUCGGCCUACAUGUCAGAUUUAUGAAUGUGAACAGCAGGAUAUCGAUUUUAAGGAUGCUUUAGGGUCAAUGACAAUGAAAUCAUGAGAGAUAAAGGCUAAAAUGUGAGACUGUCAAUCUGACUAACCUUGAAGUGAAUAAAUGGAAAAUGUUUCUUUCAAUAGCAUGGGCAUUUAAGGAAGAGGAAACAGAGGCGCUUAUGUGAUAGAACAGAUAAAGCAGGAGCUAUAAGGAAAGAUACAUGUAGAUGUGUCUUCAUGUCGGAAACACUUAAGAAAUAGAAAAAUUGUGGUUUUAUAAAACUUAAAAGAAAUUGGAAUACCAGGAGACUGCCUGCCCUUUGCAAUGUUUGAUAAUGAGUUCUUAGAUGUGAUGUCGAAAGUCUCAUGAAUAUAGUACCAUGACUUAAUCUAAUUAGAAAAAGAAAUGACAUUGAGGAGAAAACUAGUCACCAGUCUUUCACCAAUAACUAGAGAUAACUUUCCAAUAUUUGAAAUAUCAUAAUAUGUAUAGAACUUUAAUGUGCCACCAGUUUUUCACCAGGAAAAUAAGAUCACUUAACUAUUUUUAGCUCACCUGUCACAAAGUUACAGGGUGAGCUUUUUUGAUCGCUUUGCGUCCGGCGUCCAUCCGUAAACUUUUACUUUAAAUGAAAUCUCCUCAUAAACCACUAAGCCAAUUUCAUCCAAACUUUACAGGAAUGUUCCUUUGGUGGUCACCUUUAAAUACUGUUCAUAGAAUUUAAUUUCACGCAGAACGCUGGUUGACAUGGCAACCAAAAGAAAAUGACAUAAAGUAUCUUCUUUUAAAGAACUCAAAGAGCUAGAGCUUAGACAAAGUAUCUUCUUUUAAAGAACCCAAAGAGCUAGAGCUUAGACAUUUGGCAUGAAACAUCUUCUAGUGAGUGUCUACCAAGUUUGUUCAAAUAAAAGCCCUGGGGUCAAAAUUGGCCCGGCCCCAAGGGGUCAUUGAUUUUCCCUAUAUGCCAUAUAGUAAAAACUUAAAAAUCUUCUUUUAAAGAACCAAAAUAGCUAGAGUUUUAGAUAUUAAGCAUGAAACAUCUUCUGGUAAGUGUCUACAAAGUUUGUUCAAAUAAAAGCCCCGAGGUCAAAAUUGGCCCCGCACCGGGGGUCAUUGAUUUUCCUUAUAUGUGUAUAGCAAAAACUUAAAAACCUUCUUUGAAAAAACCCAAAUAGCUAGAGUUUAGAUAUUAAGCAUGAAACAUCUUCUGGUAAGUGUGUACAAAGUUUGUUCAAAUAAAA